AGGUGACCACGUCCUCCGGCUGGCGCAGCAGCAGGAAGAGCAGGAAGUCGGAGAUGAGCGCGUGGGCUUCGGGGUGCUGCCGCAGAUAGCUGGCGUGGCCGAGCCGGAGCUCCUCCUGGCAGGGGACAGAGCCCGAGCCUCAGCCGGACGGGACCCCCGCGCCCCAGGAGCCCCCAGCCGCUCGCUCCAAGGAGAGCUAAGGGGCGCUGGAGCCUUCUAGCCCCUACGGGUGUGCAUUUCAAUCAGAUUCUGCCCACAUGGGCAGAGUUGCAGGAAGGGACUUCCAGUAGGAAAGAUCCUCCUCUUAUUGCUUGGGGUCAGGGGCUGGAGGGCAGAUGUUCUCCAGCUGAUUCCAGGCUCCUGUCCCGUUUACAGCACACUGGGUCCAGCCCCCUGCAUCCUGGAAGGCCCAGGUUUCCCCACUCCCCUUAACUCUCCCUGCCUGCACAAGGCCUGGGCUUCACUCACCCUCUUCCCUCAAGAUGGGCAUCUUGGUGAUGAUGCAGCACCCUGGGGAGCCCACCUGUAUUCUCUUGGCCAGGUGCCUGGAGUGCAACACAACAUGUGAGAGUGAGAAUCUUCCCAGACCGCCUGCUAUGGACUGAAUUGUCUCUCUAACCCCCAGUGUGGUGGUAUUUGGAGAAAGGCCAUGUGAGGACACAUUGAGAAGGCACUUGUCUGCAAGCUAGGAAGACAGCCCUCACCAGAAACCAACCCUGAUGGCACCAUGAUCUUGGACUUCCUGCCUUCCAGCAAAUAUAUUUCUCUUGAAGCC
rnacentral:lncRNA from 10 species